rnacentral:rRNA from 1 species
AGAGUUUGAUCCUGGCUCAGGAUGAACGCUAGCGGCAGGCUUAACACAUGCAAGUCGAGGGGUAACAGAGAGAAGCUUGCUUCUUUGCUGACGACCGGCGAACGGGUGCGUAACGCGUAUAGAAUCUGCCUUGUACAGGAGGAUAGCCUUUAGAAAUGAAGAUUAACACUCCAUAAUACUGAUAUGUGGCAUCACAAUUUAGUUAAACAUUUAUGGGUACAAGAUGACUAUGCGUCCUAUUAGCUAGAUGGUAAGGUAACGGCUUACCACGGCAACGAUAGGUAGGGGGUCUGAGAGGAUUAUCCCCCACACUGGUACUGAGACACGGACCAGACUCCUACGGGAGGCAGCAGUGAGGAAUAUUGGUCAAUGGAGGCAACUCUGAACCAGCCAUGCCGCGUGCAGGAAGACUGCCCUAUGGGUUGUAAACUGCUUUUAUACAGGAAGAAACAGUCGUACGUGUACGGCCUUGACGGUACUGUAAGAAUAAGCACCGGCUAACUCCGUGCCAGCAGCCGCGGUAAUAAGGGCGAAUUC